GUGUUUCUAUUUUUCUAAUUAAAAGUCAUGACUUAGGAUAUAGGACCUGAAUCACUGAAGAAAUGGUGUAGAAAAGUUGGGUUUAUCUUCUUUCUUACCGUAGGAUUGAUGGGGUCAGAAUAGUAGGCACCCAAGGAUUUAUAAUCUGAUGGCCUAGUAUUGAGACAAAGUAGAAGCAAGAUUUUAAUUGCUGUGAGGCAGACAGAGAUUGGAAUUCAAAAAGGGCAGAACUGAAGUUAAGAGGUAGGCAUGUGACAGGAUUUUGACCAAGGUCUCUAAUACCCAAGUUCUUGUACUUUACCCACCAUCUUCUCAGUGAGUUGAUAGGGAAGAAAAGGAAUAAAGUGCUUGGCACUUACUAAUUCCCCAUGGACAUUAAUUCCCUUUCUUUCCUCCCUAGGUUUUAUUGUUCAUAACAGUGGCCUGUUAUUUGGGUUAGAGUGAAGGUCAACAACUUGGGACUUCUUUAGCCUUCCCUUCUUGAAUCUCCCCUUCCCUGUUGAUACCUUGCCUAUCCUACAGGGUGGUCAUGAAGAUUAAAAGUAUUAGCACAUGUUGAGUGCCUAGAAUGGAGCUUGGCUCAUCAUAACUGCACAAAUUUAGGGAUGCCCUCUUGGGCAGUGGUUACGGCAAGAAAACAUAGUACCAGGCUUCCAAGACUGAUCUGAUCCUCCCUAUGGCAUGUGCAACUUUACACAUGGCAUCAAGAGUGGCCAUACAGCUUCCUAUCACCCAUCCCAGUAAGUAAUAUGAGACACAGCACAAGAUAGGCAAGUACAUGGUCUUUUACCUGAGUGGCCCAGACCUGGGAAACAACAGGUUAGCAAUACCUAGUAAUGCUUUGCUAUUACAGUAAGAUAUUAAUAGAGAAAAAGGACAGCUUCUAUUAAUUCUCUUGGCAGAGUCCAUUCUAGUUAUGAUGUUUUCUUGUCCUUUGUUCAUUUAUUAUGGAAUUUGGCUUUUUUUUUUUUCAUCAUAGAAUUACUGAUCUUACAGUGCUCCAGGUUGCUGGGAAUACAAAGACAUGAGUUCCUGCCUUCAUGGCAUUCACAUGGUGAUAAGACAAAGGGAUACAUGUACUUCCAACAGUGUGUACUAGACUGGGUAUUCUAAAAUACAUAAACAAAGGGCUGUGGGACCACAGUGGGUGAGAACUGUCCUGGGCAUUGGAGGAUGCAUAGAAAGAAUUUAUUAGGCAAGGUAGGGGGGAGGAGGAGAGAAGAGGACAUUUUAGAAAAGCAAUUUGUAAGCUGCGCUUUUCCUCUUCCUCUCCAAAGCCUAAGGGCAGGCCAGUCCUCCCCAGUGUGCUCUGUGAAAGGGAGCUUUGACACUUCAACUAAAGGCCAGGCUUGAGCUGUCAGCAUAUGGAUUCAUGUAUCUUCUCAUUCUGAUUCAAGUACAAUUAAGUAACCUAAAAAAUAACAUUAAAACUGGAAAAGCUUGUUACUAGUCAUCUGGAUUCAGAGUAAAAUGUUCACACUAUGAUAUUUAUGACAAAUUGAAUUAGUAACAAGUCUAAAAUAUAGAAAUAUUUUAUAAAUAUAGUUUUAUUACUUGGAAAUACAUACAAAAAUUCAAACACAGCUAAAAAACAGUGGCCAAGCAGAGGUCCUAUCCAACCUGUUUUAAUGAACACAUAAAACAGUUGUCAUCAGCAUUAAACAAUUUAAGUUCUGAAACAACUUACUGUCUUCAGGGUCUGUAAAUAUUGGGCUUAAAAAUUGACUACUGUUUUCUUAUCACCUAUUUAAAUCUUUUCUCCAAAUAUAGACUAUUUAAACAUUUGUUUGGUUCAAUGAGAUGUUUUAUUUAGAAAAAUAGCUAAAGCCAUUUAACUGUAAUUAUUUUGAAAACUGUAAUAACUAUUCAUUUCCAGUCUUCUGUCACCUAUACAUUCUGCAUGAUUUCUCAAAAAUCUCCAGUAGUUGCUAAAAGAAAGCACUUGUAACUUCCAGCAGCUCUUUGGGACACUGAAGUUUGGUCUUAAGAGCCCUGACAUUUUUUAGUUAAGGUGGCAAGAUUGUUUUUAUUUCUCAUUUUUGCUUUUUUGUUUAUGUCAUUUUAGUUUGGCCCCGCUAGCCUAUAUCUCAUCAGAGAAAAAAUAGUGAGUUAUUCUGCUUUUCUUGAUUAUUAAUCCAUUAAACUCAUCUAUUCUUUUUGCCCCCAGGUUUUUCUCUUUUUUUUAAUGGCUUCUUGGCAAUUUUAGCACUUUCUGCAAAUUUAAGCUCAUCCUGAGAUUUAAUAUUUCAACACUUUUAUAUUUCACUCUUUUUGGCCUUUAUCAUGCCAGUUUUUCCCUCUUUUGUAUGUGACCUUUGGCAACUUCAUCCUGGAGCUCUAGGAGAUGCUUAGAUGCCUAUUCUCUAUCUUCCUCUCUACGUUCAUUUAACUAUUUAAAAAAUGUUUAGAAUUUCCUCUAAAGGAAGUUUUCAUCCUUUUAUGGUCCCCCUCAGUACUAGACCAAUUUUUGAAAAACUUGAAAAGGUAGCAGGUUGACAACAAGAAGGGACUGCUUCUAGUUUUGGUUUUGAGACUCAGCCGUUCUUUAGUCUUGGAUCCUCCCCCCACCCUUCCCCAGCUGAGGAGCCUCAGGCCCAAAGUCGAUUCGAUAAAUGUAAUAUCCUCUGACGCAGAGUUCAGAUGGGAAGAUGGGUAAGUUGUGAGUUCUAGAUUCCUGCAAGUCCUCUCUGUACAUCCAGCUGGUGACAAAUCCCUGUGGAAUCUACAUGUUUGCCAUCUAUUAGAUCUGUUCCUAUCUCUGCCAUCACUUAGUUCAGGCUAUUCUCUCUCCUGCGGUGGCCCAUUUUAUUGUAUCUAGACCUGCUGCCACAGUAUUCCCUCUCAAACUUGAAUACGAGCAUACUUCUGGCUUAAAAUUUGUUAGUGCAUCUCUACUGCCCAUAAGAUCUAGUACAAACCCUUUAGCUUGGCAUUCAAGGCCACGCACAAUCAGCUCCCAUUCUUGAACUUCCUUUCUCAUUUUCUUAGCCACAGCACUCCCCCCUUCCCCACCCCAUGCACUAGCCCUAUGGCAAAAACUUAUUUUCCCUAAUGCAUUUUGGUGUUUUGCUUUUUUUUUUUUCCUUUUAAAUAAAAUUGGGCACCAAGUCCUGAUGAAUGUUCAGCCCUUAAGGGGUACAAAACUUAUCCAACAUCACUUUGCAUCUCCCUCAUUCAAUAGACAUUUGAGUCCCAAUACGCAUAAAAGGUAAAUAAUGCAGCCUCAAAUCUUUUUUAACAGCCAUUCAGUUAUAUUCGAUCACACUGAACAUGUGUUCCUUGAGGCCUUUCUCCUAAAAACUACUCUCAAGUCAGCUCUCUGCAAUCCAAUAUUUGAGUGUUAUCUUUUAUUUACAAUAUUUUUAAAGCUAAUUACAGGAUUAUAAAUUUAUUCCAGUUAGCUGCAUAUGCUGCUUUCGGUGUUGUGUGCUGCCUUGUUGAAUGUUUAUGAAUUUUCAUUCUCACUGCCUUAGAUUUGGUCUGUUCUCUGACCUGAAGGCUACAAAUUUGAUUUCAAAGGUACUGAUUAAAAGCAAGGAAUUGAACAGAACUAAGACCCAACCUUGAGGAAGCUCUGUCCUGCUUUUCUAGUUAACAACCUGGUAAGAUAUACUAAACAUGCCCCUUAUCAGCUUAUUAACAUUUACUAUUCUGAAUGAAAUGAUGGAUAAGUCAUGCAUAACUAGGAAUUCUAGGCUUUUUUAAAAUAACAAUCAUUAAAUAUGCAUUAUAAAUAUUCAGUUUAUUUUAAAAGAAUUGGAAGAUAUUACAUAUAUUACACACUACAUAUAAUGGCACAUGUCAGCCUUGUAAGCUUAAAAAUAAUCUUUCCCCAAACUGGGAUUGACUUAGACUCCAAGUAUAAAAUGACUCUUGGCCUAUAGCACCAACCCAGGCCCAGAGGAAAGCCAAUUUUGAACCUGUCUGUCCUCUGGCAUUGGGCUUCCUGAUAUGACACUGAGGGGCCUCUCCCUCUGGUUUUGUUCCCUAGCAGUAUUGAGGCCUGGCACAGGGACCCAUUUGACUAUACACUGCAGGCCUGGGAAAUCAGAGAAUCUAGAGUGGGGAGGUCCUCUAACAAUUUUACAAUGGAAAAAAUUAAAAACAUAUGUGCCUUAUUGUCUUUGUUUUUGAUUUAUACAUCCAGAACAAGACUCUACAAGAUAGAAGGUGGUUAGAAUUAUUGAAGUACAAUUUCUCUGCUGGUUUUUGUCUUUGGAAAUGAACAUGUCACGAUAGGAGGAGCCUUAAAAGGGAUCUGGUUCAACAGUGGUAACCUGCCUGCUCCACCAGUAGCUCAGAUUUAGGUAUAAUUCAAAGUUUUAAAUGCCAUCCAUAUGCCAUUUUGUUAGACAAACACAUAGAAAUUUAAUAACACUUUUCAUUUUCUUUUUCUUAAUUUGUAAGGACAGUUCCUGCCAAAUGUUCUGGCUUAUGGCUCUCCUCCUCUUCAUAGUAUGUUUAAGUUACAUAUUAAGAAUCCAAAAAAUACCACUAUGGAAUUUUCAUAAGCAAUAUCCGACCAAUCAGUAAAACACAGUACACAGUGUGAAAAUUUUCAUUUAUUCCCCUCCCCGUAUCCAGAAUAUAGACCCUCUUAGCUUUGAGAAAUGUGAUAAUGAAAUACCAACAGAACUGAUCAUAUGUAAAGAAAAGCACAUACCACACAGGAAACAUCCCUAAGUCCUCCCUAACCUAGUAGUGCGAGUUCACGGUAUGUUUCUGGCGAUGUCACCUUUCACUUGAUUUAUAAAAAUUUUACAGGACAGAUUUAAAGCAAAGAUAGGCCUCUGGUUUUUAUUUUUAUUAUUUUUUUUUAUCCCUAACAGAUUUUUAAAAAGAGGCUAUAUUAAAUGACAAUGCAUUUUGAGUCAGGGGGAGGAAAAAAAAAUUAAAAACCCAAAACUUCUUUCAGUUUAUUCAAAAUAAAAAUACACAUAGAAUUAUGAAAAUAUAGGUUUACUAUUUCCACCACGUAAGUUGAUGCUGCUGUUUGAAAGGCUUGCAAAUCGUUUUUCAAGUUUUUAAAGCUCAUCUCGAUCCCUCAAUAAAGUAUACCUAUAUUCGC